rnacentral:rRNA from 1 species
GUGUACGCAAGUCAUUGGGUAAAUAAAACCUAAAGGCGAAAUGAAAGUAAAGAGUUGAGUAUAAUUUUAUAUUCCUCUUUAGGGAAGAUAAAAAUGUUAUAUAUAAUAAUAAUUGUAAUUUUUGCAAUUUAUUAUUUAUGUAAUAAUUUUUCGCAUUCCCAGGGCGCUUGUGUUCACGCAUUGCGUGUCAAUGCGCACCUAGAGCGUACACGCUGAUACCCGAAAGAUGGUGAACUAUGCCUGGCCAGGACGAAGCCAGGGGAAACCCUGGUGGAGGUCCGCAGCGAUUCUGACGUGCAAAUCGAUCGUCGGAGCUGGGUAUAGGGGCGAAAGACCAAUCGAACCAUCUAGUAGCUGGUUCCCUCUGAAGUUUCCCUCAGGAUAGCUUGCGUUCGAUUUUAAGAGUCUCAUUUGGUAGAGCGAAUGAUUAGAGGCAUUGGGGUCGAAACGACCUCAACCUAUUCUCAAACUCCAAAUAGAUGAGACCCCCGGCUUUCUUAAAAGUGAAGCCGUGGGAUUAGGAUCAGAGUGCCAAGUGGGCCAAUUUUGGUAAGCAGAACUGGCGCUGUGGGA